GGGGAAUAAUCUAUACACUAAAACUGCUUUAUUUAGCUAAAGUAAUUUAGGUGACUAUAGUGUUCCUUUAACUCUUUCUAAUUACUGCAUCAAAUUUAAUUUCAUUAGUUAAACAAAAUGACACAAAAAGAGACUUUCCUGGCUAAUCAUGGCAGCAUCACUUAUGGGUUAGCUCCGCCCCAAUCAGGUACAGGACAGGAAAAAUCAAUUAAUCUGGAC